rnacentral:rRNA from 1 species
GUGAGUCAUCGAAUCUUUGAACGCACCUUGCGCUCCUUGGUAUUCCGAGGAGCAUGCCUGUUUGAGUGUCAUUAAUAUAUAUAUCAACCCUCUCUUGUUGAGUGGUUUGGAUGUGGGGGGUUUGCUGGCUUCUUAAAUGAUUCAGCUCCCCUGAAAUGCAUUAGCAGAACAACCUUGUUCAUUGGCGUGAUAACUAUCUACGCUAUUGGAUGUGAGGGGCAGUUCAGCUUUCUAAACGUCCUUGGACAAUUCAUCAUUAAUGUGACCUCAAAUCAGGUAGGACUACCCGCUGAACUUAAGCAUAUCAAUAAGCGGAGG